rnacentral:rRNA from 1 species
GAUGAACGCUAGCGAUAGGCCUAACACAUGCAAGUCGAGGGGCAGCACAUGAGUAGCAAUACGAUGGUGGCGACCGGCGCACGGGUGAGUAACGCGUAUGCAACCUACCUGUUACAGAGGAAUAACCCGGAGAAAUCCGGACUAAUACCGCAUAACACUACGAUAUCGCAUGGUAUUGUCGUUAAAGUUUUAUUGGUAACAGAUGGGCAUGCGUGACAUUAGCUAGUUGGUGAGGUAACGGCUCACCAAGGCAACGAUGUCUAGGGGUUCUGGGAGGAAGGUGCCACACACUGGUACUGAGACACGGACCAGACUCCGACGGGAGGCAGCAGUGAGUGAUAUUGGUCAAUGAGCGAGAGCCUGAACCGGCCAAAUCGCGUGCAGGAUGACUGCCUUAUGGGUUGUACACUGAUUUUGUAAAGGAAUAACAACUCUCACGAGUGAGAGGAUGAAUGUACUUUAAGAAUAAGGAUCGGCUAACUCCGUGCCAGCCGCCGCAGUAACAC